GAUAGGCUCCUGUCGUUACCGUGAUUGGACACUGACACAGAGUCAACUAGCCUUAUGCGCGCGGUUCUUCGUGCGCGGAACCGCAGCGGUCCGAGCCACGAGGGGGGAGGCUCGGACCGCCGUC
rnacentral:ncRNA from 1 species